CUGAAGCUAAUUAAGCCGACCAGGUUUCUUUCCUCUUGGGGACCUAGAGUGAAAUGGUUGCAAACAGCAGCCUCUUUGGGAAUGUGUGUAGCUUAUUACCUCUACAGGUUGCCCUAAGGGAACUUGGUAACAACU